GGAUUGUGGCUCAGCGGUAGAGUGCUCGCCUAGCAGGUGCGGGGCCCUGGGUUCGAUCCUCAACACCA
rnacentral:tRNA from 1 species